GUUCAAAAAAGUAUUAGACAACAAAUAUAAUACUCUCAUGCUGUGUAGUGUGGCAGUUAGAAAAAACAAAGUAUCGUAGUUUUCGGUUGUGAUGUACUGAUGUUGCAUUUGCCUCAUUACUUCUCUCAACAUAAGGUUAUGACCAAAUAGAAAAAGAACGCAUGAUGAAGUGGUCAUAUUCAUGUAAGAUGGUGAUGAUGAUGAUAAUGAUGAUGGUGAUGAUGAUGAUGAUGAUGAUGGUGGUGAUUCUGGUUUCAACGUUAUAAUAGAGAUUUUUUCUUGACUGAAAUUUUUAAUUUGUACCCUAGUGGCUAAGGGAGGAAGAGUUAAUCUAAGUGUGACAAAGUUUUUUUUUAAUUAUUAUUAAUGUGUCAAUAUCCAUGGAUGAUGAAUAUUUUAAGUUGUUAUUAUUAAUGUGUCAAUGUCCAUGGAUGAUGAAUAUUUUAAGUUGUUAUUAUUUUGUUUUUCACUUGUUGUGUAUGAAAAUAUUUGGAAGGACCUUUAGAUAGUUAUUGGGACAUGAAGUUUGUGAUUCUUCUAAGUAUCAUUCACAUUAAUUAAGUGAGGGUCAAAAAUAGAUGUUUUCUCUGAUUUUCAGUAGUAUCUCUCUCGCUUGUCUAGAUGUUGUUGAUGAUGAACUAGUAUCUAGAGCUCGUGUUUCAUGCUUGAUUUUGUUUUUCCUUUCUUCUUCUAGUUAAAAUUUCAUAUCACAAACCUUAAACACUUAAACACGAUUUACAACUUAGAAGAAAAUAACAUUUAAAAAAUUAUACAUUAACCUAUAUCUAUGUCGUUGUCCACAUGAACCUUUUGACUACAUUUCUACAUGUAUCUGUCUACAUAUACCUUGUUUACAUGUAUGUCAGAAAUCCUUAUACAUACUGAAUUUUUCCAGACUAAUAUGUCAGUAUCACUAUUGUUCAAAUCAACCUUCUCUCGUCUCCAAAUUUUAGCAAACGAAAACCUCCUUUCAUCCAAAAUUUACCAUCCACAAUUUUAUCGUCCAUAAUCUUAUAGAUAAUAUUCUUCCAUCCACACAUUUCUUACCUACUUAGUUUUUUAAAAUUUUAUUUCUCCUAAUAUACUUUUGUUGCUCUUUUCUUUAAACAAAAUUUAAAUAAUUUUAUAUCCCUUGUAAGAUCUUAUUUAAAUAUGUGUCACAUGUCAUCAUUUAAAUCGAAUCUAAUAUUCAAAAUCGUACACAUUGUCUCAACCAUAAUUCUCUCAUCCAUAAUUUUUCAGUCGAUGAAAACAUUUCCAUCAGAAAAUAUUUCUUUAACCAUAUCCACAAAUAAUAUGUAUAACUAAAAUAUGUCCACCCAAUAUCAUAGCCACUCAUAACUUUUUCACAGAAAAAAAAAUAAUUCUAAGUAAAAUAUAUAAAAAUAGAUAUCAAAUUAUAGAAAAAAAAUAAUGAAUAAUUUGAGGCAAACAUUGUUUAUAAUUUAUUGUAUUAAAAUAAAAAUAUAAUAUAAUAUGUAAAGGGACUAACAAAACUUUCUCCACUAACCAAUAUCUAAUGAAGUGAACCUCAAAUGAGAAAAUUGUACACUUAAUUCACACCAUUAGAUCUUCUUUCUCUUUACAAAUCCAACAUCCACUAAAAUCCUACCUUCUUAUACACCUAACAUAUUAAUUCCCGAAACUUAACUAAAACAAUAUAGUCAAACAUCUAACUAAUUCCUAACUAAGCAUUCUUCUACCACAAGGACAUUUU